rnacentral:lncRNA from 1 species
GGUUAUGGGUACUACAGUGGAUGUGAGUGUGUAGACCUUGUACAAUAGAGCUUAUAGGCUAAUGAGAAGACAGGAAGAAACAACAGGAACACAUAUAGCUGGAAUGCAGAUGGGAUCUGUGCUACUUACGCUAGCCAUGGGAUGAUUAGAACAAGAUAAGAGACAUGAGGAAGACUUCUUCAAGGAGGUGCUCAAGCCAUGUUUUGGAAAAGAGAACUCAAGGUCUGGCAGGGAGAAAGGAGCAAGACUGCCUGGCAGCUCUUUAGAAAGUUGUGUGACGUAUGAACCAGUUCUUCCCUAUAUGAGAGUGUACCGUACAUCGCAGGCUGUCCAGCAUCGACCCCACUGAUGGAUGCUAGUAGUCCUCCCCGCCAGCACUCAACAUUGUGACAGUCAAAAACAUCCUCUCUACAUUUUCAAUGCCCCUGUUGGGGUAGCAGGACUCCCACUGAGAGACCCCAGUAGAGAUGGGCAAGUAGAGCUGCAGCUGUCUGGCGCCACUGUAAUGCUGUCUCCUCCUCUGAGUGAGUUCAUCCUGGAAACAUUUUCUCCCAUAAGACAUGCACAGGUCUUACGUUUACAUGUUUCACUGAAAGAAAUUUGAUUCCACUGCUGGGAUGACAAGGAAGACUGAAGAAACCUAAUCCUAGGUGCUGCCACUGGGACAAACAAGAAGCACCAGACACAGUGCUGUUUUAGGGUGGGGCAGAAUUAUGCUGAGGGAAAAGUUAUUAUCACUCUUUAAGGCCAAGGAAACCACAAUUUUUAAAGAAGCUUCUAGAAAUUCUACCCAGUAGAAAAUAAAGAUAAACUUCUGUAAGGAAUUUCAUUCUUUUCAGAAUUCGCAAUCUGAAAUGUAGAAGCCCAUUCCUUCAUGGUUCUCAUAGAUAUUUAGUGUGACUGAGGGGUCAGUGGACUCAUAGCACUCAGGCCAGGCUUCUCCUGAGUCCCUUUCUUUGGCACAGAGGGAGUGAUUCACAGAUCCUCUACCCCCAAAGGCAUUGUUUCCUCAUCUCAACAAGAAUCCAGCACCCGUCAUUUUAUCAGCACACGUCACUAGCUUCUCAAGUGAGACUACUCUGAAGUGAUCUGUGUUUGAAGAAUGCCUUUCCCUUUCCCUUACGUAACUAAGAGGAUGAAAAAGGACACUCACUCCCUAUAUGAAAGCUGUGUAUUGUAAGCAGUCAUCUUGCCUGGCUGAGAACUCUAGGAUCUUUUUCUCUGCUCUCCUUUAGGCUGACACUCAUAGCCAGACCUUCUGUUUAUUAGCCCCCUGAAUCUAUUUGAAAAUAUUUUUGCUUUCAUUAUAAUAUAAGUCACAUUCUUCUUGCAUCUGCCGCUGCAUUUUCCAAAAGGGUUAUGUCAAGGGAAAUUCAACACUCACUUUUCUCAUUAUUUGCUUACCAGCUUGCUCACUCAUCAAAAUACCAGAGUUAUUUGAUACUUCAGAAGAUUAUUUCCCCCUUUAGAUGAUGUGUCAAGGGAAGGGGAGCUGGCCCCAGUAUCAGGUGACAGAAUUUUCUUCGCAUUUCUACUGUUGACUCAAUAAAUGCCCUUGGGCAAGUCAU